UACGGAGGGUGCAAGCGUUAUCCGGAUUCACUGGGUUUAAAGGGUGCGUAGGUGGGCAGGUAAGUCAGUGGUGAAAUCUUUGGGCUUAACCCGAAAACUGCCAUUGAUACUAUUUGUCUUGAAUAUUGUGGAGGUCAGCGGAAUAUGUCAUGUAGCGGUGAGAUGCUUAGAUAUGACAUAGAACACCUAUUGCGAAGGCAGCUUACUACGCCUAUAUUGACGCUGAGGCACGAAAGCGUGGGGAUCAAACAGG
rnacentral:rRNA from 1 species